CCACAAUGCGCGAAAGCGUGAUGGGGGAAUCCCGCGUGCUUACAUUUUAUGUAAGCUUUUGUCAAGAGUAAAUAUCUUGGAGAAUAAGUGGUGGGAAAGACCGGUGCCAGCAGCCGCGGUAACCCCGGCGCCACAAGUGGCAAUCUUAUAUUGGGCCUAAAGCAUUCGUAGCAGGUUUGAAAAAUCCUUUGUGAAAUUGUUGAACUCAAUACAACAGCGUGCAGGGGACACUUUCAGACUAGAGACUGGGAGGAGUUGGGGGUAUGCCUUGGGGAACGGUUAAAUGUGAUAAUCCAAGGUAGACCACCUGUGGCGAAGGCGCCCAACUAGAACAGUUCUGACUGUGAGGGAUGAAAGCUAGGGGAGCGAGCCGG
rnacentral:rRNA from 1 species